UACGGAGGAUGCAAGCGUUAUCCGGAAUGAUUGGGCGUAAAGCGUCCGCAGGUGGCUAUGUAAGUCUGCUGUUAAAGAGUGAGGCUCAACCUCAUAAGAGCAGUGGAAACUACAUAGCUAGAGUGCGUUCGGGGCAGAGGGAAUUCCUGGUGUAGCGGUGAAAUGCGUAGAUAUCAAGAGGAACACCAGUGGCGAAGGCGAGUCCCUGGACAACACCUGACACUGAGGCACGAAAGCUAGGGGAGCAAACAGG
rnacentral:rRNA from 1 species